rfam:Ornithorhynchus anatinus chromosome 4, whole genome shotgun sequence.
CCCCUCUCAGAAUCACACUUGGAGAAUUUCCAAUAUUCUACCAGUCUCGGCUAUGGGAGGGGGAUUCACGCAGAGGCAUACCCAUUCCGUUCCUAGCUUGGCCAGUGGCUAGCAAUUGGAAGGCAAUCUGUUACACGU